CGAAGCGUAUUGCUUUUGUCAUGGCUCCAUCUAGUGGUUUGGGGCGCCAAGACACGCAGAACGUUGAGAAGUUGAAUAUUGUGUUGUAGUGGAGUGACGGUUAUUUUUAAAAAUUGUGACACGUUCAGUUUUCACAAUUCUAAAGCGUGUGUUAUUUUGGUGAAUCCCCAAAUUCAGUGAGUGUUUCAACAUGAGUCGACUAACUGCCUCAUGAGCAACAUUUAGCAGGCUAACUGCUGCUAGCGGUUGGCCAUUUUGCGGCUGCUAAACUAGGUUAUGGAGUGGUUCCAUUGUAACAAGUGUUUCUUAAGAACAGGUUCCAAAUUUGCAGUGUCCAGCUGUGGACACAUCUGCUGUGAGGCCUGCAUUAAACCUGGCAAGGCUUGUCUGUUUAGAUAAUAUUCUAAUUCAUUGUAAUAAGUGAUUGACAAAAUGGUUUGAAUCACUCUUGGGAUUGUGCCUUUCCCCUCAGAGCAAUGUGUCAUAUGCGGAACCAGCUGCAGUUACCUGCCCAUUACAGAUAAGAUGAAAACACAGGAAAGGGUGUUUUUCAUGGAUCCCAUGAAGCUCUUCCAGUCACGUCUCGAGCACAUUACACAGAUUGCAGAUUUUCAGCGGACACAAAUGGAGCGAGCCACGGCAUACUUCAAGCACAAGUCAGUUGAACUGGAAAAGCGUCUGAAAGAAGUCACUCAACAGAGUUACAGGCAAAUCGCUGAAUUGAAAAGAGAGAAUGCUGAUUUAAAAAGCCGAAAUAUGGAGCUGAAACAAGAGAUGGCCGAGCUGAAAAAGCCUCUUUCACAGAGGAGGGCUUCUCCGGGACAAUUCCAGACAAAUGGUGUUCAAAGGAUCUCGCUCCCUGUGGCUGUCGCUUCUCCUGUCACCUGGAUCCAGCAAAUUCCCCACUGUGGACCCGAGACCGAGGUCUUGUGUCCCGUACAACGCCUGGAUCGACCACUUCUUUGUCUAGCCAAAGCCUUCUUGAACGUGGCCACAGGACCCCCACAUCCAGCAGCCCACCUACAAGGUGAGAAAUACCAACCUGAACACUUCUCUUUUGUCUCACUUGCACAUUUUGCUCUUCCAUUUGUGUCUUCCGCAGAAUGCCAGAAAUCUUCCAGUACCAUCUGUUGACUGGCUUAUCAAUCGCCUCACCCAGGCGUUAAUCAGACCGGUUCUCUUUGUAAAGACUCGUCAAAAACAAAAAUCGAGGCGAGGCGGAGCUGCGGACCAGGAAGCCCAACAAGGCCCAACUGACUGUCACGGCCUCGGCGGAGUGGGUGUGCCAGUCAGCCGGGGAAGGCUUCACAUUGGUGGGAGAAAGCGUCUGUACAACAAAUCCCGACCAGUGAGCUAAACACUUUUUAUUUUUUUUUACGUCAACCACGUUGCGCGCCCCCAUCGGAUCUGGGCCACAUACUAUUUACGAGGAGAUUUAUUUGCCUACAAAAUCAUCUAAUUUCACCACCAACCGGCAGCACAGUCCUGUUUCCCUCUGACAUAGGGUGUGUUUAUCGGGCAUUUCUAAGCGGGGCUGGAGGGGGGGGGGCAUCUUUUUUGUCCAAAUUAUUUGAAAUAUCUAAAUGUAUUCACCAUUAUAACGAUGGUGCUUAUGCUGAAAAUUAAUUCAGUGCGUCCACCUCCGACAUUAAAGAAAAAAAUGACGCAUAUAAGAAUGGAGUGAGCACAAAGCUGAAAAAAACACUCUUUUCAUAAAGCCUAAGAUUCUAUUUGAGGGGAGGCAUCGAAUGGGCUACAACUGAGUAACACAGUUUCUUCUCCUGAGGGGAAAUAAGGAUGGACAGCGACCACAUACAGUUCAUUGGUUGGGGGUUUAAAUCCGGGCUCCGGCAUUCCUGUGUGGAGAACCAGUGCUAUGGAUAGACGGAAAUAAGGAGGAAUCCAUUUACAGUGGAAACCACUAUUUGAGGAAACGCAUCACUGUGUACUGUAUGUCUCUUGCAACCCCCCCCCCAAAAAAGUUUACUGUUCUUGUGAUGAUUAGUUAAAAUAAGACUGUGUAUAGGACGAGUCAAGUAUAUCAAAUAAAAUUGGAGUUUAAAAAUUAAUGGGUUAUUGUAAAGAAUCUCAAGGCUCAUCGCUCCCAGAAACAAACAUGGAUUCACACAACACUGUGGCGUGAGCACAGAGACCAUCAGAUCUCUCGUUUAUGAAAAACUUUCCAAGUAGCACAGGAAAGUCUGUAUUUCUCACUUCGUCAUCUACAACAUCUGAGUCAAUAUACUGUAAUUACACGCAUACUUGAUCGGGUGAUGCUGGUUUGGUGAGCAAUGGUAGCAGUUGACUGGAUCUCCGUUCGAAGUUAAGCAACCUUUUCUUGUACCAAGCUCAAAUAAAUUGGUGGGGGGGCUACAACCUCAUGGACAGGCAUUGCAUCAAACGAGUUUCAUUACAGUAACUCAAGACCAAAUGAUUAGUUCAUCAAAAAGAUGUAUCCUCUGUCACAAAGUGGUGAUCUCUUAUCCCUUAUUUCCCAUGAUAUAUCUAUCCGUUUGCUUAUCUAUACUGCUUGUCCACAUGAGGAUUGUGGGGCAGCUGGAGUCUAACCAAACUAAACCCGAAUGAUAGGGGGCAUCAACCUUGAACCGGUCGCCAGUCAAUUAAAGGGCGCAAAGACACUAAAAAAAAC